AAUGGACUGGCGCCUCCUUAGA
rnacentral:tRNA from 1 species